rnacentral:rRNA from 1 species
UGGGGAAUAUUGGACAAUGGGCGGAAGCCUGAUCCAGCAACGCCGCGUGAGGGAUGACGGCCUUCGGGUUGUAAACCUCUUUCACCUGUGACGAAGUCUCUGCUUUUUGGUGGGGGUGACGGUAGCGGGAGAAGAAGCACCGGCCAACUACGUGCCAGCAGCCGCGGUAAUACGUAGGGUGCGAGCGUUGUCCGGAAUUAUUGGGCGUAAAGGGCUCGUAGGCGGUUUGUCGCGUCGGGAGUGAAAACACCGGGCUUAACUCGGUGCUGGCUUCUGAUACGGGCAGACUAGAGGUAUGCAGGGGAGAACGGAAUUCCUGGUGUAGCGGUGAAAUGCGCAGAUAUCAGGAGGAACACCGGUGGCGAAGGCGGUUCUCUGGGCAUGACCUGACGCUGAGGAGCGAAAGUGUGGGGAGCGAACAGG